AUUGAACGCUGGCGGCAGGCCUAACACAUGCGAGUCGAGCGGAUGAAGGGAGCUUGCUCCUGGAUUCAGCGGCGGACGGGUGAGUAAUGCCUAGGAAUCUGCCUGGUAGUGGGGGAUAACGUCCGGAAACGGGCGCUAUACCGCAUACGUCCUGAGGGAGAAAGUGGGGGAUCUUCGGACCUCACGCUAUCAGAUGAGCCUAGGUCGGAUUAGCUAGUUGGUGGGGUAAAGGCCUACCAAGGCGACGAUCCGUAACUGGUCUGAGAGGAUGAUCAGUCACACUGGAACUGAGACACGGUCCAGACUCCUACGGGAGGCAGCAGUGGGGAAUAUUGGACAAUGGGCGAAAGCCUGAUCCAGCCAUGCCGCGUGUGUGAAGAAGGUCUUCGGAUUGUAAAGCACUUUAAGUUGGGAGGAAGGGCAGUAAGUUAAUACCUUGCUGUUUUGACGUUACCAACAGAAUAAGCACCGGCUAACUUCGUG
rnacentral:rRNA from 1 species